AAGUUAAUUUCGAGGCGUCUUGAACGCAACAUAUUCAUAAACAACACGCUCGUGCAAGAUGCUCACAACAUCAAGCUAACAAAACACUUAGGUACCCUGGCAUUUGUUUGGAGGAGAAGUUGCCCUGCUGUAUUUUUGUGUCUGCGAAACUCCGAGAAAAUCAGAACCAAAGUGACACAAUGGUUUCAUACAAGAAGCUGAACCCGGAAGAUGUUCGGUUUUCCAGCUCAGUUUUAUCAGAAGAUGCUCGUCCAGUUCAACAAGACAAAGUUUCAGAUCCAGACCGUGUUUCCUUGCUCCCUCAUAGACCAUCAUGCUCCAUCACCACGAGUGUUGUGGUUAUUGGCUGCAUUCUGAUGCUCCUUGGUGUAGGCUGGGUGUUGUACACCAUGUACUGGCUACACAGUCCAUCCAGCCAACAUUCAUAUGGACCACUGCCGCCAGCUCCGGGGAAAGCAUCAGGAUCCAGAUUACGAGCAGAAGUAAACAGAAUUCCAUCCUCCUCUCACAAAGAGGCCUGCAAUGUAAUCUCAGAGCCGUGGAGGUUUGAUUGUUACCCUGAAAGAGGUGUUGUUGUGACGCAAGAGUUGUGUGAAGCAAGAAACUGUUGCUUUAUCCCUACAUCCAGUGCUUCUACUUCUGCUCCCAGCCAGUCAAGGAAAAAUGGUAUUCCUUGGUGUUUCUAUCCUCUGGAUUUUCCCUCUUACUCACUGGUGUCUCUAAAUGAGACAUCAAUGGGUGUAAAAGGUACACUUGUAAAGGGAGGGACGACUUACUACCCUGGAGACAUUCUCACUGUUGAGAUGGAGAUAUGCCAUGAAACAGACACAAGACUGCAUGUCAGAAUCACAGACCCCUCCAGUUCACGGUAUGAGGUUCCCAUCUCGGUGCCCGCCGCUGCUAAGAAGGCAGAAAACCCAGAGUACCUCGUGGAGCUCACAAAGCAGCCAUUUGGUCUCAUAGUGAGGAGGAGAUCCACCGGAGCCGUGCUUCUGAAUACCACAGUGGCUCCUCUCUUCUACACGGACCAGUUCCUUCAGUUUUCCACCUCUCUGGCAUCUCCAUACAUUUAUGGCUUGGGUGAACACCGCUCCACCUUUUUGCACGAUGUCCGCUGGAACACGCUCACCAUGUGGGCUAGAGAUGUUCCUCCCAUGGAGCAGACAAACCUGUACGGAGUCCAUCCAUUUUAUCUGACUAUGGAGGCGGGAGGGACUGCUCACGGCUUCUUCCUGCUCAACAGUAAUGCAAUGGACGUGGUCCUCCAGCCCGCCCCAGCCCUUACUUGGAGAACUAUUGGUGGAAUCCUUGACUUCUACGUGUUCCUGGGUCCUGAUCCUGGGUCAGUGGUUGAGCAGUAUGUGGACGUCAUAGGACGCCCAGCCAUGCCCAUCUACUGGGCUUUAGGAUACCACCUCUGUCGCUGGGGAUACAACUCCAGUGAUUCCACCUGGGAAGUUGUCAAGAGCCUGAGGAAUUAUGGGAUACCCCAUGACACCCAGUGGAACGACAUCGACUACAUGGACCAGUUCAAGGACUUCACUUUUGACCCAACAAACUUUGACUCUCUCCCUGACCUCGUCAGGGAUCUGCAUGCUCACAACCAGACUUAUGUUAUAAUGCUGGACCCAGCUAUCAGCAGCACGCAACCCAAGGGCUCAUACUGGCCGUUCGAUGAGGGACUGAAGAGAGGAGUUUUCAUGAAAGAUGCUGAGGGGAAACCACUUAUUGGAAAGGUGUGGCCUGGUCAGACAGCUUUCCCUGACUUUUCUGAUGAAGUCACACAUGAAUGGUGGUUUGACAACUUGCGCAAAUUCCAUGAGAAAGUCCCUUUUGAUGGAUUGUGGAUUGACAUGAACGAGCCCUCAAACUUUGUGGACGGAUCAAUGAACGGCUGUCCGACAAAUAGUCUUGAAAACCCUCCUUACACCCCAGGUGUUUUAGGAGGUUUUCUGAGGUCUAAAACUGUGUGUGCCUCAGUGCAGCAGAAACAGUCCACACAUUAUAAUCUUCACAGUCUCUACGGACUCAUGGAAGCUAAAGCCUCUGCAAGUGCUCUGAAGCGGAUUUUGUCAAAGCGACCUUUUGUGAUCUCCCGCUCCUCCUUCCCCAGUCAGGGUUUGUACUCUGGUCACUGGCUGGGAGACAACAGGAGCCAGUGGAAGGACCUUUACACUUCUAUCACAGGUAUUUUGACCUUUAACCUAUUUGGCAUCCCGUUGGUGGGAGCAGAUAUCUGCGGCUUCAGUGAGGAACCGCAGGAGGAGCUGUGUGUCCGUUGGACCCAACUGGGAGCGUUCUAUCCCUUCACUCGAAACCACAACACUGUUGGCAUGAAGCCUCAGGACCCAACAGCUUUCAGCCCUCUGGCCCGUGAAGCCAUGAAACAAGCUCUGCUGCUCAGAUACUCCCUCUUCCCGUUCCUCUACACCCUGUUUCAUCACGCGCACCUACACGGACACACCGUUGCACGUCCACUGAUGUUUGAGUUUCCAGGAGAUGUGAAAACCUACGGGAUCGACAAACAGUUCCUGUGGGGAAGGAGCUUAUUAGUGACUCCAGUGUUGGAGCCCGGGGUGGACUUUGUGGGAGGUUACUUCCCACCAGGUCUGUGGUUCGACUACUUCACGGGGGAUUCUGUUCGCAGCAAAGGUGAAGAACUACGACUGGACGCGCCGCUAGAUAAGAUCAACCUGCAUUUGCGUGAAGGUUCUAUCACACCAACUCAGGCGCCCAACCUGACCUUGUGGAUAAGCAGCGGUCAGCCUCUUCAUCUGGUCUCAGCUCUGUCUGAUGAUGGUUCAGCUUCUGGAGAUCUGUUCUGGGAUGACGGAGAGAGCCUGGACACCUACGAGACCAACCAGUACACCUACAUCGUCUUCAGCGUCUCUCAGAAAGCGAUGACCUCCCAGGUGCUCCAUAGCAGCCAGGAGGCCUCAUUCUUGUCUGUGGACUCGACGUCUUUCUACGGUGUCCCCGAGAAGCCGAGCAGAGUGCUGGUGAACACCCGUGAAGUCCCAUUCACCUACAGAGACAACCAGCUCCGCAAGGGACAGACACGCACGGAUUGAUGGAAGCGUUUUGCCCUCAUACUUCUCCGUCUCCUGGAGAGUGUUGCAAAGCAAUUGCCCGGCAGGACAACAGAGGGUGUAGCGCUGUUCUGUGGUAUCCUGUCAUGUAUCGGUCCAAGAUGGUAUUGACCGUCACAGGUCUGGGUCUCAGCCUCGCUCAGAACUUCACCAUCAGCUGGAUGUAAUUUUAUUUAAUGUUGUAGUAACAUGCUGACACACACAGGUGGCGCCACGUGAGCAUUUGUGCAAAACACUGGUAGAUUUUAAGUGAUUGUGACACUUCUUAGCUGAUUUCCACCCUCAGAGACCAUUGUUGCACUUUGCUGUCUGGUUGAAAUCAGCUCAACAAGCUCAAGAGGAAAAACCACUGGAGGUCAAACAUAACAAGCCUAUCUUUAGUAUGAUAGAUUGGAGUUUUAGACUUUUUAAAACUCUGGAUCAACUAUUAAAAUGCCGCUAUAGGUGUCACUGUCCUUGAUUUGAACUGGUUUUUGUUUCCAAUCAUGUCUGAAAUCAAAGCCAAAACUAAAUGUUAUUGUUGGAAGUGAAAGUGGAGGUAUUUAGCAGCACGCUGGGUCAUGUUUGAGUUGACGCUUUACAUCUUUAAAGAGCAAGUCACCCCCUACCAGAGUAUUACUCCACCCCCAUUUCGUUUGAAAAAUGCAACAAAUGCUGUUGCUUGGCAGACCGAGGGGGCAGAGUCACUAACAAAUACACAAAUACAGGCUCACAAUGGCACUGUGACAUCAUAAUGUACCAGCUAACAUCAUAGCAUACCUCUUAGCCAAUAGCGGUGGCAGAUUUAAAUUCAAAUACAGUGCAGAAUUAUUCCCUGACGACAGUGCAACACUGCCAUUUUAGGCAGAAUAUUUAAAUUUUAACUAAGAUGCACUGAAAUGCCAAAUUAUUGAAUACACCCAUCUGCAGCACAAGUAGACACUCGUUUAUAUAGUUUAUCAGCAGAAAAAGGUUGAUUUGGGGGUGACUUGCUCUUUAGGGAUUCUGCUCACCUAAACUCUGCAUAAUUACCACAUAGGAAUUUUAUUGUCUUCCAUGACAAAAUUUUUAAAAGCUCAUCAACAGAAAGAUAAUGUGCAAUUAACAAUAAAUGUGACAAAUCUGAAUGUAGCUCCUGAGUUUGAGUUGUUUACGUUUUAUUUGCCGCUGCGGUAUUUCUGAGGGGCCUUAUGAAUGUGUCGUUGCACAUCUAACUUGCGAGCUUUAAUUAUUCAGCUUCGUGGUCAUCAUUCUGUUUAAUUUCUGUUUCUGCAACUUUCCUUAGGAAAAACCACUUAUUAUUUAUUGUUUGUAGAGGUUUCAAAAUCUGCAGUAUUAGUUCAUCUUUGCAUCGUCGCUCAGAGGUUUGCUUUCACGGUUCUGUUUGUUUGAAGUCGUGUCUGUUAUUAGGAUGUUUUUAAAUGUUGGUGUAAUAGAAUAUAAAUGUAAUUUUUGCUGAUGAUUUGAGUUUACCAAAAUAUUCAAUUUUAAUUCUGCUGUGUUUGAUCAACUGAUUUAUAAUAAAAGUAUUUUAAUUAUUCCA